rnacentral:tRNA from 1 species
CCUGAUAGCUCAGUUGGUACAGAAUCUGCCUGCAAUGCAGGAGACCCAAGUUCGAUUCCUGGGUCAGGA